rnacentral:rRNA from 1 species
UACGGGGGGGGCAAGCGUUGUUCGGAAUUACUGGGCGUAAAGGGCUCGUCGGUGGCCAACUAAGUCGGACGUGAAAUCCCUCGGCUUAACCGGGGAACUGCGUCUGAUACUGGAUGGCUUGAGUUCGGGAGAGGGAUGCGGAAUUCCAGGUGUAGCGGUGAAAUGCGUAGAUAUCAGGAGGAACACCAAUGGCGAAGGCAGCUCGCUGGGACGGUACUGACGCUGAGGCGCGAAAGCGUGGGGAGCAAACAGG